GCAACAGUUGUCUUAAUAGCUGUCAUAAAAAUAAUGUUAACUAAGGUGGUGCCUCGAGUUCUCCUAAAAAAACAAAAGGGCAUAAGCUUAAAUCCUAGAAAACAAGCAAAACCUAAAAUUAAAACCACACACCCUAUCGUGUUCCAAGGCACUUUUCCUCUUCUUUGCAUCUUUAACCAUUAUCGAAGCUUUCUGGCUUACUUCCAUCACUGUAUUUUCCUUUAUAAUCCAGUACCAGACUUCUCCAAAAAUCUGAGUUUGUCAGAUAAAUAAGAACCAUUAUUUUUGGUAGAUCAUCCCCGAACUCAGAAAGAAAUGACCCAUCUUCACCAAUUCAAACAUCUUCUUUGAUUGUUGACGACUGUGGGACGGGCUAGUGAGAUUGUGCCCUCGAGCUACAAGGGUGUGCGCAACUUCAUUUGCAUUUCGAGGAGUAAAUUGAAAAGAUAAGUUAAGAAAACUGGGUAUUCUCUUAAUUUCAUUUAUAAUGUUGCCAAUCGUCGAUCUGUCCUUUGAGUCUGAUUUGAGUGUUUUUAUAACUAUUAGAGCAUCACAUUCUACUAUCAGAUCUCGAAAACCCAUUUUUUCCCAAAAUAUUACGACUUAAAGACACGCUUUGCUUCUACAGUGUUCGGAUCCCCGCUAUUGUUGUCAUGUUUUAUUGAAAAAGUGAUGCAUCAAAAUUAGCUUUAACUUAUUCUGCCUUGGAAGGUCUCCAUAGUUCCUCCUUUGGCUUAAUGUUGACCUCUGUUAUGGAUCUUAUUUGAUCUAACUCCAGAAUAUAAGCUUUAAUAAAACCCACAACCUCCUAUACCCUUCACUUUUUCCUUUCAUGGUAGUAUUUAUUUCUAUUAUAACAUACUGCCCAAACUGAAAUUGCCAUGACUGCACAUAAAUGAAUGUUAUUAAUGCAAAAGAAAGAGAUUGACCAUUGGUUCCGUGUUUGUUCUAUGUUUAUGUGUGAGACAUCAACCCCAACCUCCUGCAAGACCUUUUUUGUGAAUUCGCAAUCUCGAAAAAGGUGUUCCACAGUUUCUUCUUCUACUGAGCAGAUUGGACAAGUAACAUCAUUCUUGAGUCUUCGAGUCUUUAGGUUACGAAGCGUGGGGAGAUAAUUGUUAGUUACUCUCCAUAAAUGUAUUUUUAUUUUACUGGGAAUCGGGAGGUUCCACAGUUUUUUAAAACAGUUUUUUAAAAUAAGCUUUUAUAUUAGUUUGGUCUGUACAAUAACCCUGUAGAUGUAGGUAAUUUGUAAUUAUUCAUUUAAAACCAGUUUGAACUGUGUACUCGCCCGAUUUAUCUCCAUGCCAUAUUAUAACAUCCUAUUGAGUCGUGCUUACCAAUGGAAUAGACAGGAUUGCCUCGGCUUGUUCCCUUUCCAGUAAGUUCUAGAUUGCAUCAUAGUUUCAUGUAAAAGAUUAUUUAUUAAUUAGAUCUACUACUUUGGAAUAGUUUAUAUUUAUACUCUAACUUUUACUUUUCCAUUUUUAAGGGUAGAUAGCCAAGCAUCAUUCCAGAUAUUUGUUAAUUCGUCAUUCCCUAUCCUCCAGCUUGUUCCUUUUUCCAAUAAACUACGCACAUUCCAAAUGCUGUGCCGGGUAAAAGAGGGAUUUUGAAAAGCUUGGAUAGUUGGAAGAUCGAGUUGGAGCACAUACACUAUCCGUUCAUCAUCUCUGUAAAUGUUUUGGGUCAUUUUGAUGUUGGUUAUAAAUGACAUGUAUUAGGUUAUUUCGGUUAAGUUGUUCAUGUAGUUAUGUUUAGUACUUGAAAUGGUGAUACUUUGUAGUCAUGUAUAUAUGUUUGGUAUUUUGGUUUAAUGGUAUUCUAGUACAUGGUUUGGCCUCUAGUAGAUACUUGAUGAUGAUAUAUAAAUGUUGUUUAAAGGAUGUGAAGAAUUGGAAUAUUUGAGUAGUGUUAAGUACAUAUUUCAAAUGUUGCUUUGAGAUGAAA